rnacentral:lncRNA from 1 species
CCCAUGCUUUAUAAGGAGAACUGAUCCCAAAGUUUAGGGCGUCUGGAAAAGCGUAAAAAUCACAAGGAGCAAGAAGAAGAAGAAAGAACGAAGAAUGGUACAUCACUCUAAUCCAAAACGGAAGUUGGAAUUAAGAGUUGUUUGUAAUGUCUUCUAGUUUUUCACAUAUUUUUGUGAACUUGUUUAUUUCUAUGGAGUAAAUUCUAAAUAGGGC